rnacentral:rRNA from 1 species
CCUACGGGGGGCAGCAGUGGGGGAUAUUGCACAAUGGGGGGAACCCUGAUGCAGCGACGCCGCGUGGGUGAAGAAGCGCCUCGGCGCGUAAAGCUCUGUCAGCAGGGAAGAAAAUGACGGUACCUGAAGAAGAAGCCCCGGCUAACUACGUGCCAGCAGCCGCGGGAAUACGUAGGGGGCAAGCGUUAUCCGGAUUUACUGGGUGUAAAGGGGGCGCAGACGGCGAUGCAAGCCAGGAGUGAAAGCCCGGGGCCCAACCCCGGGACUGCUCUUGGAACUGCGUGGCUGGAGUGCAGGAGGGGCAGGCGGAAUUCCUGGUGUAGCGGUGAAAUGCGUAGAUAUCAGGAGGAACACCGGUGGCGAAGGCGGCCUGCUGGACUGCAACUGACGUUGAGGCCCGAAAGCGUGGGGAGCAAACAGGAUUAGAUACCCGGGUAGUC